rnacentral:rRNA from 1 species
UGCGUAGGCGGGCUAAUAAGUCAGUAGUGAAAUCUCUCGGCUCAACCGGGAAACUGCCAUUGAUACUGUUAGUCUUGAGUUCGGUUGAGGUAGGCGGAAUGUGUAAUGUAGCGGUGAAAUGCUUAGAUAUUACACAGAACACCAAUUGCGUAGGCAGCUUACUAGACCGACACUGACGCUGAGGCACGAAAGCGUGGGGAGCGAACAGGAUUAGAUACCCUGGUAGUCC